rnacentral:rRNA from 1 species
GACGAACGCUGGCGGCGUGCUUAACACAUGCAAGUCGAACGAUGAAGAAGAGCUUGCUCUUCGGAUUAGUGGCGAACGGGUGAGUAACACGUGACUAACCUGCCCCUUUCUCUGGGAUAACGCUCCGAAAGGAGUGCUAAUACCGGAUACUCACAUCGAGGCACAUGCCUUGAUGUGGAAAGUUUUUCGGAAAGGGAUGGAGUCGCGGCCUAUCAGCUUGUUGGUGAGGUAACGGCACACCAAGGCGACGACGGGUAGCCGGCCUGAGAGGGCGACCGGCCACACUGGGACUGAGACACGGCCCAGACUCCUACGGGAGGCAGCAGUGGGGAAUAUUGCACAAUGGGCGAAAGCCUGAUGCAGCGACGCCGCGUGAGGGAUGAAGGUCUUCGGAUUGUAAACCUCUUUCAGUAGGGACGAAGCGAAAGUGACGGUACCUAAAGAAGAAGCACCGGCUAACUACGUGCCAGCAGCCGCAGUAA